rnacentral:lncRNA from 10 species
CUUCUCAGCUUCUCUUCCACCCGCCGCUGGGCCUCUGCCCGGCAUCCCGCGUCGGGAGCUUUCUCUCUGGAAGGGGCUGGGGACCCGGUUUGGGGCUGGGGCGCGGAGCCUAGCCCAGGACCGGCCCUCGGGCACACGGAGAACGGGUGGGUGGGCACUGGGGAAGUUUCUCAGGAAACAGUGGUGAACCCUCGGGGGGCGCCCACCACUAACAUCUCCGUCCCGUCUUCCGUCCCCCCAGGCGCGUGGCAGGGAGACGUGGCAGCCACCCCAGGAUCUGGAGCUUGGGGGACGCGGGAAGCCCCGCCUCCCUCCCGGGCGAGCGCGGGGGACUCGGUACGCCUGCGAACAAUGGCUCUGCCCCGCCCACCAGCCACGCGCUGCUCACCCGGGACCGCACCGGACUCCGGCCGCACACACAGGCUGGCUGGUGUGUGUGUGCCUGCGCGCACGCAUCCUGUUCAGGACCCGGGCGGGCAGUCCCAUCCCCAAGCCCGCGCCUCCAGGAUGCGUGCGGGAUGUUUUGGAGAUUCUUCAGACUGGCAGGUUGUAAUUUUGGAAUCUUCUUUGUGGAAACCGUCAGGAAACACUGACAUGUGUUUUCACCCAGCAGCAGGCGAAAGGGCUUGGAUGUGGAAUAAGAAUAGCUGGCAGAUGAUUGAGCUAUAGGCUCCAGAGGAAAGGUACACUCCAGACCAGCUCCAGAGAACGAGAGAAGACUUCCCGGAGGAGACGGUGCUAAAUCCGAAGGGACCAUUAAGGAUGACUAGCGGGAUAUUGAUGAAGCUUAAGGUCUCAUGCCCAGGAUGCUUUCUUAUAGGCCAAAUGGUAUCACUCCAUUCUACUGGUGUCAGCUGCUUGAAAUAGUGUAGACACAGAGAAUUCUGGGACCCGUGUCGCUCAGAAACAAUGUCAAAGUCCUGGCUGAAGGUAUCUACAUUACCCACGAAUUGCUGUAUAUGAGUGGAAUGUACAAGCAUGGAUGCAACAGCAAGAGAACUAAAUUUGUUUUGUGCUUCAAAGUACACAGUUUAUAAAGACUUCUAUAUUCUAUUAUCUAAAUCCUAAAACAGUCCUUAAAGUCAGCAGGGCAGGCAUUGCUAUCAACACUUUGGAGAUUUGCAGAUAGGUAAACUGAGUCUCAAAAGCGACUUGUUCAGAACCAUAUACUAGUAAGUUGCUGAGCCCUGCUAAACCCAGGGACUUUAUUCACAUUUUUUUGUUUGUUUGAGACAGAGUCUUGCUCUGUUGCCCAGGCUGGAGUGCAGUGGCGUGAUCUUGGCUCACUGCAACCUCCACUUCCCAGGUACAAGUGAUUCUCCUGCCUCAGCCUCCCGAGUAGCUGGAAUUAUAGGCACAUGCCACCAUGCCCGGCUAAUUUUUGUAUUUUUAGUAGAGACAGUGUUUCACCAUGUUGGCCAGGCUGGUCUCGAACUCCUGACUUCAGGUGAUCUGCCCGCCUCAGUCUCCCAAAGUGUUGGGAUUACAGGCAUUAGCCACCACGCCCGGCUGACACUGCUUUGUCGAUGGCAUCGACAAGAGGAAAAGUCAAGUGCCAGUAGGAGCUUGGGGACAUGGAGAAAGGUACUGGACACAAGAUAAUCAGGAGAUGCCACUUGAUUACCACAGUUGCAAUUUCUUGAGCAAGUUUAAACAUCAUAAGGAUGCAGAGAACUUUUUGAGAACAUUUCUCAAGCCGUGUUGCAUAAGCUGUGCUCCUGGGGCCAAUACGGGUUGAUCCACACACAUGGGGAAUGCUUAACCCUAAGCAGGAGAAAGCAAUCGGAUUUUGCCCAGGUAGGUGACCAAAGGUGAAUAAAGCAGUCCACUGGUGGCCUUGAACAAUCAGAGAUGUGAGACUUGUCACAUGAUGACCCUCCUUUAGCACAGUCAAACCCCUGCUGAUCACAAGCCUCCUCCAGAAUCCAAAAUUACCCAAUGGGAACCAUAUACCAUCUCCUGUUGCUUUUCCUGCUUCUCUGGACCAUACUGUUAGCUUCCUGCUCAUCAACCCUAUCCUAAGGUCCAGUUAUGCAAGGCAGGGGUCUUUUUGCAAUUAUUUAAAAGGCUUGUAGGUGAGAGGUAGUGGCUCCCUUUUCCUUUGUCAUCAGCUUAUCUAACAUAAGGUGGUUGAUUCUGGUACAGUUCUUCCUCCUUUUUCUUUUUUUUUUCUGGAGAGUUUCCAAAUUUAUUGCUUAUCAAUGGACUCAUCUUGGAAAUUGAGCUGUAAAACACCAGGAUAGAGGAUAGUCUUGGUUGCCAAAUCUGUUCCCCCACCAGGGCAGUGUUGUAUACUUCCAAAACUUUCUAGGUCUCCUCCAAAUGACUCAAGGGAUGGGAAUUUCACCACCUCUCAUGGGAGGUUGUUUUAUAGCCUCUUACAUCUUACCCAUGAUGAAAGUUCUGAUGAAA